rnacentral:tRNA from 1 species
GUGGAUAUAGCUCAGUGGUAGAGCACAUGCUUAGCAUACAUGAGGUCCUGGGUUCAAUCCCUAGUACCUCCU